rnacentral:lncRNA from 9 species
UAUGUUUUACAUAGUUACUCCUCAUGGUAGCCCUGUGAUGUAGGUCCUGUUGUUACUAUCAUCCUCAUCUUACAGGUGAGACAACUGGGGCGCAGAGGGCUGGACUCUCGUCCAAGAUCUGAUGACUAGUAAGUGCAGGAGACUCCCCUCCAAGAACCUGGUCCUCUUGGAAGAAGUUUUUCACUCCCAGACUAGACGCUGAGCCUCUCCGCAGACCAGAAAUUCAUCAGGAUCCUCCCUACGCAGUGGGGCGUCCGCCUGAAGAGUUGCUCCUUCUCUCUUCCUCAUCAAGGCCUUCAAGAAGGAGAGGGCCUAGAGAUUUUGUUCCACUGCUGUUUGGAUUGUGUUUUGGUCCUCAGCUUCUAAGAAGACAGGGCUGCAGUUACCAG